AUAUUCUAGACUUCAUUCAAGCCCAUCUUCCCAGUUAAAUACCAUUACAAAUGAACCAAAAAAAGUUAAUGAAAAACGUAUAAACUGCAAGAGAAGUUUAUUGCUUAAGUGGAUGCUUCGGAACAUGGAGGAUACCACUGCCAAACGCUCCAAUCGACGCAGCUUCCAGUUUUCGGAUCGAAUCCAGUGUUCUGCUCGCAGGCAACUAGCUCGGCCUGUCCGGUGCUAGAGCACUGCCAGUAGUGGGUUGGAUCCCAGAAGUCACGGGAAAUCUCUCCGGAGCGUCCCACGCAAUCGGGCUCACCAUUGCCAUCGGGAUUGCAGUCAAGGUCGGCGUAGAUGGCAACGCAGAGGGUCAGGAAGAGAAGGACUAAAGCUGAAACAGAAUUCCGCUAUUGGCAUCUCAAUGGUUUCAGCGAUGUGAGGUCAUCAAUGAAACUCACCUGCUUUCAUUGUGGUUUGUUCGAGUGAUUAAUACCGAAUGCGAUUGGAACGCAACGUUCGACAUUUUAUAGCCACCUGCUAUCUAUUCCCUGACAUAUUGUCUGAGACAAUCGGAGCUAUACAUUCUAUUUCUUAAAGAACAUGAAAUCGUUUAAAAAUAAUCUCAUGAUCACGAUUGGUAUCUGUAUCUCGACAAUUCGAACAUUUGACGCCGUCGUACAAUUCGUUUUCAAACAAAGAAGUAUAUUUCACCAAGUGUUGUAGUAUACUUAGUUAUGAUAUUAAAAUAUUAUUGAACAAAAAAUUUGCAUAUGAUUUGUUUGAAUUGACCGGCUCCUAUUUAGACAAUUUAUACCCUGUAAAACUUUACACACUGAGACACAGUGUUUUUGAAAUAAACAAACAAAUUUUGAAACCAAGCUCUAGUUAAAAAAUAAAGUUGUUUGUAAAAUUAAAGUAU
ensembl:ncRNA asRNA:CR45343 antisense RNA:CR45343